rnacentral:lncRNA from 1 species
GUCCGUUUUUAAUGGUUUCGCUUAAAAAAUUCCUGGUUGUCUGGAGGAAUCUCUGAUAAUGGGUCCUUCUGGUGAAGCAGCUCGAGAGGACGGAUCCAGAGAGCUCCCUCGGCGUCAUGUCGACGACGAAAUUCCCAAAUCGUCUUCGCCAACGAUACGCUACCUUCUCAAGAGGAGUGGGUAUCGACAUGCUCUUUUCAGUGGCAUCGUCACACUCAUCAUGGGAGGGUUGGUUUUUUCCUUCAUUUGAUCUUUUUUCUUCGGGUUGCAGAGCGGUCCUUCUCAAAUGCAUUCACUGCCACAGGAAUUGUCUGCGGCUUCCUGAUAAUGCUCGUUGUGGCCUCGGCAGAUACUUACACUUGUGAUCAGCUUCUCAGACAAGCUUAUUCUCGAUUAUGAGUCUCUUGCUUUCCACAUUGGUGGGAAGUGGUGGAAGGUUCUCUCUCUCUUUUUUGUUUUUGUUUUCUUUUUUUGAAGUUUCUAAAAGCUUUCUCUCUUUUCUUUUUUUUCACAGCUUGCUACCGAAAUUAGCAUAGUGGUUCUGCCCAUUGGGACCAUUAUAGGCAGCAUUCAGGAAGUCAGUGAAGCUGCUGUCAUCGGCAUUGAAAACAUCACUUCCAAUGUUAACAGGUAACAGGCGUGUGCUUAUGAUCCUGUCUGUCGUCUUCAUUGUCGCUCCAUUUUGCCUGGUGGAAAAACUGAAACAGGUAUAAUUUUCCAAACAGGUGGUGCUUCGUGCUUUUGUUAUUGCCGUUGCGUUGCAGCCCUAACCACACUGUAAAACGUCAACAAAUGUAAGCAACAGUUACAUUUCCUUGCUGACAUUGUUUUCUAUUUUCUUUACUCUCGAGCUCUCGGAAUCACUGGAAUCCAUUCUUGAUGGCUAGAGUCAUGUUGAUACUGUAACGGGGCUCUGUGUCUGAUGCCAUCUCGAACUUAAACUCUGGCAACAGAGCAGCUACCAGAGACUUCAUUUGCAGCGUAGCCAUAGACAGGUCUGUAUCUCACCACCAUCUCUCAUCGCCAUCUCGCCAAGACCGAGGAUCAAACUCGGUGUUUAUGUGUGUGACUUAACUGAUGCCUUCUGUUUUGCUUUCCAGGCUGUCUGCCAAACCAGCCGAGAGGGCCGAGACGUCGUCAAAGUCGUCCGCGAAAGACAUAUCGCCGCGCUCGAGAAGCCCGUCACCGGCCCGUCCCGUGACGCCUCCCAGGGCCUCGCCUCCCAGGCUCGUCGACGAGCUCAAGCUCCAGCUAGAAAAGGGGGAGAUGCUCAAGAGAACCAUCCCGGCAAAUGCUGGAUCAGCAGCAGCAGCAGCACCGAGGCAGUGGAUUGGUGUGUAGAGGCGGUGGAGAUGAUUCGCAGUGCCAAGUUUUAAAGGUUUUGGACUGUGGAAGGCAGCAGCAGCAAGCUAAGAACAGGCCAAACUCACAGACACACACACACACACACAGACACUCUCCUCUUUACCAAGUGAGAAAACAAAGAGAGUAUAGCUUAUAUGUGAUACUUAUAACUCUUCCAAAAUUUCUCUCUCUUUCUAUAGUUUUUUUCUCAUCUGGAGAGCAUUUUCGCUUGAUGGAAAGUUGAUCACAAACAAUGCCCUCGGAAAGAUUGUGGAGGGUUGUUUUGUAUAGAACAGACAAAAGCAAAGAAAAAUACUGUGAUUAAAACUCUUUGAACGUGACUACUAAGAAUUUCUCUCUAGUUUAAGGCUGUGUCCCAAAGACGGCACAUUUAGACUGGCGCUUUCUCUGAGGGGGCGGGGGUGGACAAAAGUAGGGGCGUGAGUGCAUGGAAGCUUCGCGGUUUGGUUGCCUAAAGUCGAGUUGCCACACUAGGAAUCAGUGUUAUGCGUUGCUACCUACAAGAGCCAGCCAACGAAGAAGAAGAGAAGAAGAUUGGGUUUGAGUGGCCUAGCCCACUCAAACUAGAACACGCACAUACUCUCUUUUGCUAUUGGUCCACCACCAAAUUUUGCACUUGUACACAAACAUCAGGUACAUAAGUAUGUUGUUUAAUUUUAUUAACAAGGAAAGACACUAAGAAAUGUGAUCAAGAUAUAUCAAAUUAUCUUAAUAUUUCCAAUCUCAAAAAUAUCAAGCUUUUUCACAGCACUUUUCUGAAAAUAUCUGCAAAGAAAUGUAAUAAAUUUUAUUAAAACAAAACUAAAUAAUCUGACUAAUAUUUGUGUUCAUAUUGCAUUAUUCUUCAAAAUCAUGAUAUUGUGAGACAUUAGAUUCAACAAUUAUAUAAUAUAGCUUACAGAUAAUUCUUUGUUUUUGCACUUUUACCAAGUAAAUGUGAUUGUAAAGAGAAAGAAAAUUAGUUAAAAUAUUAAAAAUUAACUCUUGAACCAUACUUAUUUAGGCUGAAAAAAAUAUUUACUCCAGAAUCUUUUUACUUCUAAUAGAUUAUAUUAUUUUGAAGUUAUAGUUUUUAUUUUUUGAAAAAUAUUGUACUAAAUAUAAAAGUGAAGUAUAAUUUUGUUAAUUCCUUACUUUGAAAAAUAAAGAACCCAAAUAUUAAACUUAAUUUUAAAAUAAAAGGAGGUAAUAACACAAAUGUAUCUUUUUUAUUAUGUUUAUAUCAUAUUUUGUUAUCUUUAUAAUAAUUACAACCAUCUUCACUAAUAAAAUAGUAUUAUGAGUUUUAGAUUACAAAUUUAAAUAUUUACAAAUUAAGGUAUUAAUCUUGAGAAAACUUUAACUUUAUUGUUUCCUCUCCAAGGGUUUACUAUGUAGCAUGCAAAAAUAUCAUUAUUUCUUUUUUUGUUAUGUAAUAUAGCACAUAAAAUAUAAUUAAAUAUAUAAUUUUCCCCAAAAGGCAAAUCAAUGGUUAUUUAUAUGUUUAUUAACUGCCAAAAUAAAUGCACCAUGUUUGUGCUUAACUCAAAAAAUGUAUAUUUGAGUGUAAAAAAUAUUAAAUAACAAUAAUUAAAAUUUUAAAAAAAGGCUUUAUAAAACACAAAUGAAAAAUAAAGUUCAGAAUAAUUUAUUAAAGUGUUCUAAGGAAGAAAAAAAAUUUACACUACACUAAAUUUGUAUAAUUUUAAUUUAUAAUUAUUCUUAACUUUUAAUUUUGGCAAAAUUUAACUUUUACUUAUUUAAAAAGAUAAAAUAUAAUUAAGUUUCAAAUCAUGUUAAAAAGUUUACCCUAACAAACAGAACUUUAGGUUUAGUGGUGAUGGACGAGGCUUCUACAAGUGUGGGAAUCAGUCCGGUAGGGAAUGUGGGCUUGGAUCCAGCUUACCCUUGUCUUGUCCUUUUACAGGAUUACUACAUCGAAGUUAAAUAUUCCAUUUGGACUUAUUAUGUUCGUCCUCACUCCACAAUCCAUGUCAUUCAUCUUUGCUCCACUAUUAUAUUUGUUUAUCCUGACUUUAUCAUUAGGGCUAGACUCCCAUCUGUCCUUUCUACCCCCUCCAAAGAAAAAAAAAGUUUGAAGUGUCAGGGCAGAAAUGAGAAACUGAAAAAAAUUAAAGACAAAUAAUUGUGGAAGAAGAAAAAAUGGAUAAAGAAGUAUCAAAAGAGGAAUUUAUAGUAGUUGGCAAUAUAGAAAUAAAAAAAUCAAAAGAAUGACAUGUGCUCAAAGUUUAGAAAAUAAGGGACUUCCUAUCAUAAAAUACUUCAGCCACCACAAUAUAAGUAAAAGAUUCACACAUAUCAACUUCUUCAACAUAUAACAAAACUUUUGAGAUGGGAAAAUUAAUAAAAAUGUCUAUACUCUCAAUAAAACACAUAAACUCCUUAGCACAAACAAUAAAAUAAAGACUCUCAAUGGCACUCAUAAUUAGGGAUAUGCAUUGAACUUGAGAUUUUGACCAAAGUGAUUCAACCCUUGGAAUUGGGGAAUACUCAAUAUCAAAAUUGAUUAAAGUCUUUUUAAAUAAAGAAAAAGUAAGAUUUUCAACUUCAUGCACAUACUUAACAUCCAGAUUAAUAUGAAGAGGACAUAACACUCAACUCAACAUUGAAUUGAGAAUGAAAAUCAUGAGAGUCACAAAUGAUCAAUGUGCCAAGAGAAGAAAACAUUGCAAAUGAGGAAGAAAUACUAAAAACAUGAAAAGGUGGCUUAUGCUGAGAAAUUAAAAAAAUAUUGGGAAAUAACAAAAGGUAAAUAGAAAGGAUCAAGUGGUAGAUUGUAAGAUUGACAUUUAUCCCAUGAAAUCUUCAUUUCAUCUCCAAAGUUAUCUCUAUAAUAAUCAAGCUCGUUAUCACAAUCUGAAAUCCACUUGAGUUCGUACAUAUCAUUUUUCUAUAAACUUGAUCCUUGAACAUUCUCCAAGAAUUGGAUUGUAUCAUUCAUAGUUCGUUAAUCAAUGUCAACAUCACACUCCACAUCAACAGAAAAUAGUAAAACACCAAAAAGAAAACAAAUUAUGUAAUCAUGUUCUAUGAAAGUUAAAGACAACAACACACCAAAAAUAUGCAUAAUACCAACAUGAGCACACCCCACAACACCAAAAGUUCGAUCUAAUGGAGUAGCAUUAAUAACUUUAAGUGAUAUACUCUUUGAUUGAUGACUACAUGGUAUGGUAGAAGAAAAGAAUACAAUGAAAAUUAUAAGAAAGAGUAGAUCUAAGCAUAGACAUAACUAAAGUUCUAGAUCUUACAAAAAAUUAUUACAUAUCUAGAUUUCAAAAAGAAUGAAGAAAUAAAAACAAAAAGCACAAUCCUAAACACUAGAGCAAAGCACUUCUAAAAAACUUUGCCCAUCAGGGACAAAUUGCAAUAUCCCUCAACUGCACUAAUAUAAGUGCUCAAGAUAUAAGAAUGGUUAUAUUAAUUGGGGUUUAGAUUUUUAUUUAAAUACAAGAAUGGAUGGACUAUAUUUAGUUCUGAAUGAAUGGUCGAUAAGUUAGGGAAAUACAUAUAUAUACAUAUAUAUAUUUACAAACCUUACAGAUUAAAGUAUAAAAUAUUAUAAAUUGGUGGUAUUAUGUUGCUUUUGUUACCUUUAUAUAAUUACAACCAUCUUCAAUAAUAAAAAGUGUUAUGAAUAUCAAAUUACAAAUUUAAAUAGUUACAAUUUAAGUUCCUAGUUUUGACCAAGCUUUAAUUUUAUUGUUUUCUCUCUAAGGGUUAUAUAUAUAUAGUAUGCAACCUAAAAAAUAUUAUUAUUUCAAAUUUUUAUUAUGUGGUAUACCACAUCAAAUAUAAUUAAAUAUAUUAUUUGCUUCAAAGAGUAAGUCAAAGGUUGUAUAUAUACUUGUUCACUGCCAUACCAUAUUUAUAUUGAAUUUAAAAUAUGUAUAUUUGAGCUGAAAAAAAAUUCAAUGAGAAUAAUAAAAAUUUCAAAAAAUAAAAUGUUUUAUAAAAUUACAAUACAAUUUUAAAUAUUUAUACAAUUUUAAAUAUUCUAUUAAAGUGUUCUUAAGAAGAAAAAACUAAUUUAACACUAUUCUAAAUUUGUAUGUUGUUACUCCUAACAAAAUAAUCUGUAUUAUUUAAAUUUUGUAAAUUUAUAGAUAUUCUUAACUUUUAAUUUUUUGCUUUAAAUGGAAAAUUUUAAAGUAAAUAAAUUUUCCUUAUUUUUAAAAAGUUAAACAAAAUAAAUUUUAAAUCAUGUUAAAAACUUUACCCUAACAAACUAAACUUUAGGUUUAAUGGUGAUGGAUGAAGCUUCUAGAAGUGUAGGAAUCAGUCCGGUAGGAAAUGUGAGCUUGGAUCCAGCUUACCCUUGUCUUGUCCUCUCACAAGAUCUAAUUCACGAGAUUUUCAAGAGCCUUUGGGAGAAGGCCAGCCAGGGUUUGCUCUUCCUCUCUCUCUCUUUUGUCUGAGCUCCACAACAGAUGUUGCCCAGGCGGAUGAAUCCAACGUAGGCGCAACCUCGAAAAGAACCAAGUCCAAAGCAGAGCUUUCUAAAGAUCAUAGAGAAAUGCAGCCAGUUUCGUUUCCGUUUUGCAGCAAAUGCGAAUGCUCUGUGAGUUGCUCAAGCUCUUCGUCAGAGGUCGGGUUUACUCUAUUUCGUUUCAAAGAAGGAACUAGAACCAAAACUUCUGGGCUGAUUGAUGCAGAGGCAGUCGGGCGAGUGGGAAUCAUUGCAGAGGCCGAGGGAAAGGAUCGCAUCGAAGCAACACAUUUCGAAAGAAUGCUACCGCAGUUUUUGCUGGACUUCUAGCUAGAGACGAAGAUGGUGCUCGCGGGAAGAACUCUAGCAGCGGUAUGAGAAGGCUGGCCAGAGGACUCGCUACAGACUGUGCAAGCAAACAGCUAAACUUGAGAGAGUACCUCGAUUCGAAGCUAUGCUCCUCCGAUGUCUCCACUCUGGCUCGUCUCAUCCGCGAGUGUGGUUCUCUGGAAAGCCUGUUAGAUGCACAAAAGAUUCACAGUCACAUUGUAGAGUCUGGCUUUCAGGAAAGCUUUUACCUGCGUGAGCGCCUCGUCCACAUGUAGCUCAAGUGUGGCAGUGUAGAGAACGCCGAGGACGUCUUCUUGGACAGGAACAGGAUGGCUCACUUCCGAGACGUCACGACGUGGACGGCGAUGUUGUCCGCAUACUCUCGUCAAUCCAGCAGCACCACCAAGGUGCUCGAGUUCUACUGCCAGAUGCUCCAGCACGGUGUCAAGCCCGACAGCUUCACUUUCACUGCCGUGUUGAAAGCCUGUGUUUCUGCGAGGAGAGCGUUGAGUGGCGGGAAGGCGAUCCACUCCCAGAUCUUAGAGAGCGGGCUAGAGGACAACGAGAUCAUCGGAACUUCGGUCGUGAGCAUGUAUGGGAAGUGCAGCAGCCUGGUCGAUGCUCGAGCCUGGUUUGAUGGAGUUUGUGUCUGAUGUCCGCAUGGAGUGAUGUUGUGGAACGCCAUGAUCUCGGCUUACGUCCAGAACGGCUGCUGUGGACAGUCCUUGGAGCUCUUCAUGCUGAUGCUCUUGGAAGGUGUCGCUCCAAACAGUGUCACGUAUGUCACGGUUCUCAAUGCUUGCAGCUCUACAUUGACGCUGGGUAUUGGCACGGCGGUUCACAUCUGUGUUUGCGAUCUCGGCCUCGAGUCGGACGUCCUCAUUGAGCGGGAAGAGCGGGAAGCUGGACGAAGCCCGGAAGAUCUUUGAAAGGAUCGAAGCUCCGGACUUGGUGUCGUGGAACUCGAUGAUAUCAGCUCUUGUCCGGGACCGCCAAGGAGACGGUGCUCGGACGUUGUUCAAGCAGCUGCUUCUGGAAGGCGUCACUCCAAAUGAGAUCACUCUCAUCUCUACUAUCAAAGCCUGUGCUUGUCCGGAAGAUUUGACGGAAGGAAAGCUGAUCCACGCCUGCAGCUGUGAAAGUGGCCGGGCCUCAGUACUCUUCGUGAGGAAUGCUCUCGUAGUCAUGUAUGGAAAAUGCGGCUGUCUAGAGAAAGCUCGCGAACUGUUUGAAUCUGAAACAUUGGAGAGGAACUUAGUCAGUUGGAGCGUCAUGGUUGCGGCUUAUGCAGAAAACGGUCAUGGUCACGAGGCCCCCUGCAGCUCUUCAGGAUGAUGAUUCUGGAGGGUCAAAGCCUCGACUCAGUCGUCUUUGUCAACGUCCUCAAUGCUUGUUCUUCGGCAGGAAACGCUAAGUUGCUGCUGCGGGAGAAGCUCUUCACGGCAACUUAGUUGAGGCUGGAUUCGAAUCGGACGUAGUAGCGGCAACGGUACUCGCGAACAUGUCUAUCAAGUAUGGACGUUUGGAAGACGGGCGACGUGUUUUCGACAGAAUGGAGGCCCGGACGCUGUCAGCUGGAACACCAUGAUCUCGGGCUAUGCUCAGAACGGUCGUCCCAAAGAAGCCUUGGAACUCUUCCGCCAAUGGAUCCCGGAGUUGCUGACAAACGGACGUAUGUAGCAGCAUUGGAUGCUUGCGCCUGCUCAGUGGCUGCAACCGAAGGAAACUUAUACACCAGCGAAUACUUCAGCAGAAGAUGAGCGUCGACGUAAUCCUGGGAACAGCCAUUGUCAACAUGUAUGGAAAAUGUGAUUGCUUGAGCGAAGCCGAGGAGUUCUUUGACAGUAUACCUCUUCCCGACGUCGUCACUCGCAAUGCCAUGAUAGCUGGUUAUGCUCAGCACGGUCACCUCGGCAAAGCUCUUGGUCUGUUCGCCAAAAUGAAGCAGGAGGGAGUGAGACCCGAUGGUGCCACCUUUCUUAGUGUUCUGUGUGCUUGUAGCCAUGCUGGUAACUUGAAAAAAAGAUCCGAGUUCUUCAUAUCAAUGCUGGUCGAUUACGAGGUUAAGAUUUCUGUUGAGCACUGUGGUUGCAUGCUGGAUCUGCUGAGCCGGUCAGGAAUGCUGCGUGAAGCAGAGGAUCUCCUAAAAAAGUAUCCGACUUCAGCCAGAGAUGCCGAGUGGAUAACGUUGCUGGCCGCGUCUAUGACUCAAAGUGAUGCAACCGUGGCUCAAAACGCAGGAGAGGGCCUUAUGAACUGCCGCCCCGAGAGCUCUUUCCCAUACGUCGUGCUUUCCACUGCUUUGAGCAUUGAUGAGGAGGCUGCCUGAGAACUAGAGCUAUAGCGUGUAAAAUUCAACACACCUGAAUCGAAAAAUUGCCUGCAGAAAAAAAAAGUUUGUGAUGAAGCAAUGUAAAAUAGUAAGCCUACCCAUUGAGGCACAUGCUAAAAGUUUUCACACACGUUUCUCUCAUCAGCUCGUGAACUUGGUCAAAAGAUUGCCUUGCGUCCACAAACUUGACGACAAAAGAAAAGUCUCCGUCUUUUACCCUGCAGACCUUUGUACUGUAAGGCAACUUUUUUCUGAAAAUCCAGCUGCUCAUCUCCAUAUCCACCGCGCACAGCAGCUUCCUAAACAAAAAAUAAUGAAAGAGCUGCUUUAUAGAAUGUAGAGUACCUCUGGCGGACCAGGUCUGCAGCAGGAAGUCCAACCCCGAGAGCCUGUCCAGUUAAACGCUAAAGCUUAGGCAGCGGUCUGCACCUUGCACCACUCAAGAUCCAGUCCCUUCGCAGCAGAGAAAGCCACUCCUGAGUACGAAUAUCGAUCUACUACCAACGUUAUUCCAGCCAUCAAUUUCAUUUCCAUCUGCAGUUUGUAAGAAAACAAGAUGUGCUGUUCUCAAAAACUAGUCAAGAAAGUCACACCUCUUCUCGCAGCCGUUUGCUGAAAACAAAAGAUGAACAGCACGAUCAUCAAGCUCAGCCCCCAAGGAAGCCGAAAUCGAGCUACCGAUGGCCGUUGUCCUGGAAACCGCCAAGCCUCCGCCUUCAGCCCUUCAAAAACUCAACCAGCCAGUGACACUGAGAGCUCUUCCCGCUUCUGUCCAGACCCUCCAGGACAAUGAGCGUCCCGCGCUUCUCUGCUCCCACUGCAAGCUGCAUUGAAGUAACGGCUUGGAGGCACUCCUCCAUCAAGUCGACAUGGCCCUGCUUCUGCUUCAUCAACCAUUCCCCCAUUCCCUGUCGUUGAGGUUCCAUAACAGGCGCAUGACUGAGCAGCUCCAGAGCAAUGUUCAUCCACUGUUUACAAAUUACAGAUCGAUGUAGUUAGCUUGCUAGCUCAAACAAGCGACUUACCUUCAGAAAACUACACGACACGUUCGGUUCAAGCUGCAAAGAACGAAGAAAGAUCCUCAGUCACAAAACCAAAAGCUUUCUCAAAAUACCUUUUCAGCAGCAUGAACGUGUUCAGCAGCUCUGUCAUACUGCACGAGGCCCAGAUAGCAGAGACAUAAAGCACGCAAUGCCUUCGCUCUCAUGGUAGUUUCCUCUUCCGCAGGCAGGUAAUGCAUGGCAGCCUCGAACAAUGGCUGUAGGAAGAAAUCCGAGCCACUAUUACAAAAACACCCCAAAAGUCAGCUCUCAUAUAACGGUGAAAUAAAAGAAAUUCAGAGAAGCGCCAGACUUCUCUUGUGGAUGAAAACCUCUAAAGCAAAACGAAGAACGUUUUCUCUGAAACGGCGUCGUCUCUUUGAUCAAGAACGUCAAAGCGGACAGGCACACCUCCACUGCAGCCUUGUCAUAUGAUAUGAGAGCUACAAGCUCCUCCUCGGCCUCUUCGUAACGACUGAGCCCAAUCAAUGCCUUGAUUGAAGGCCAGGAACGACGUGCUAGGAUGAUCCGAGGAGCCUUUGAGAACCGAAACGCAGUUGAGAACUCCCUCGAAGUUCCCAUUCUGGAGCGGCAAUGUACCUGAGAAUUGUGAGCUCCUGGCUUGUCACAGUUUGCUCCUCGCCCUUGCUCUUGCACGAUCCCUUGAGCGCCUCGGAGCAAAUCUCAUAAGCUUACUCCAUGUACUUGACGGACUCAGCCUUUGAUUCCGACCCCUGGAGCGCCAGAAGUGAUUUCCCGUAGAGAAGAUAUAUGUCCACCCGCUCUUGAUACCUCUCCAGGGAGUCUUGGAGAAAACCACGGGCCCUCCCUAGCAUGCUGGAAGCUAGCGCCUUGUGUGACAUCUCCCACACUGUUCUUUCUUGACCGCACAAGGCACAGAUCAAACAUGACCUGCUGCUCUUCCCUGCUGCCGAUCGAUGAGAGACGAUCUCGGUGGCUCGCGGCCGCGAUUUGUAGUUCCGGAUCUUGUGCGAUCAAAGGAAGAAUGUAACCAUCUUGAGAGUGCUCGACCAACGACACCGGCCCACAAGAGCAUCUCGACAAAGGCGCGCGUGGUAUUCCCCUAAGGAAUCCACCACUGCGCGGCCUGGCGGCUGGUAGCUUAGCUUCAAGACUUGCUGAUUCCCAGAGAAGAAGCCUGCUAGGUGAUCGAUCCUCCGCAGCGGAUUCACAGUAGCCACAUCGCCGAUCCCUGCACUAAGAACCUCCGAGAUGAUCAUCCUGAGAGCAAGCGAUCCUCGGGUCCAGUCCUGCGAAGCCCUAGAAUAUUUUCCCGCUCAACUUUGAAUCCAUAAACCCUAACCCUGGGCGGUACACGUGCCAACACAUAAUUGGGUUUUUAUUCGGGCGAAUUAAAUAUUGCCACGUGUAUAAGUUUUGAUAGAGCACAUGACUGACAUGAGAACAUGUAAGAUUAUAGCGACUUGCGGAUUAAUGCGACAGCGAUGGAAGGUCUCUUGGUGGGACAUUGAUUUAAUCUUCUCUUCUUUUGAAAGGUACGCUCGUUACACGCAACUAGACUAAGUCGUGCUUUACUCUUCUUUUCUUCCGUUUCUAAUGGUGUCAUUUAAAAAAAUUAGAAAAACAAUGGAACACGCAUUCACGCGCAAACGUGUUGCAUCAUUUUCUAUGUUUGAACUGGCGAGAGAAGUUAUAUGCUUGUGUUGAGCAAAAUACAGAGCUUGUAUCCAUGGCCAACCUCGAUCCCACGGGUGUGCUGAGAGCGCUUGUUUCUGAAGCUGUUAGAGAAGUGAUUGGGCUUGCCAAGUCUGCCAUUCAUUGCAAGAAGAAGUGCAGCGAGUUGGAAGUUUCAUUGACCGAAGCAUCAGAUCUGCUAGGUGAAAUGAAGAGAUAUUCUGCUGCCCAGGGCUCUCUGAGCUCCUCACAACUGGAUUCCUGGCUGAAAGCCCUCCAAGCCAAGGUUGAAGAGGCUAAACCUCUUAUUCUUGAGUGCCAGUCGCUGCAAAAUCCCAUUCUGGAUGGCCUAAAGAGGUAGGUUGAUUGUGCUUCUCUUGGGACAUUUCUGAAUUGAGUUUGUGAUUUUGUUCCAGGAUACAGCUUGCUACCAAGAUCGAACACUGCUCCAAGGCGAUCCAUGGGCACUUGGCUGCAGCUCCUCGAAAUCUUGAUGUUGAGAUUCUACAUACAUUGAAGAAGCAAAAGGAGGUGCCCUCUAAUGUGGUUCCACAGGAAGAACAGCAUGUUGUUCCUCUGGAUAAGCACAUUUUCGGCAUGGAAGAGACGCUGGAGCGGGUUGUAUCAGACUUGCUGGGGUCCCCUGCAAGCAGCAAGUGGGUUGGAGUCCAUGGAGCAGGAGGUGCUGGAAAAACACUCCUGGCCAAAAAAGUAUGUGACAACGAUCAAGUCAAGGGGUGUUUUGAUCCAGUUUUGUGGCUAACAUUCGGUCAGUCGGUUCAGGUACGUUCCUUAAGCUUAUAAUGCAACAUAUUGCGGCUAUGGUUGUAUCUCCUCAGGUGGAAGCAAAGCAAGACGAACUUGCCAAAAAAAUCCGACUAGAAGGUGAUCAGAUCAGCAAUGAAACACUGGGGAGGGGGCUUGUUGGGAAGAGAUGCUUGCUGGUGUUGGAUGAUGUCUGGAAGUCCAUCCAUUUGGAUCUCUUGGAUGUGGUCCAAGAGAAUGGAAGCAAGAUCUUCAUUACCACUCGAAAACGUGAUGUGCUUGACAGUAGAGGUGCAAUCAAAACCGAAAUGGGGCUCUUGGGAAAGGAGGACAGCAUGAAGUUGUUCGUAGUCCACGCAUUCCCUAACCAAAAUCAUGCUCAAGUCACCAAGGCAGUGGUGGAGCAAGUUGUGGAAAAGUGUGGGGGGCUUCCACUGGUCUUGAAGGUAAUUGGCAGAAGAAUGGCAGGCACACAAGAUUGGGACUAUGUUCUGAGCAAACUCAAGGAUCAACGACUUAUUGCUCUUGAUGAGGAACAACAGGUACUGGAGCGACUCAAGCUGGGUUACGAUGCAUUGUUGCCUCUUCGCAUCCAGCAGCACUUUCUCUUCUUCGCAGCAUUUCCAGAAGACUAUCCGAUUGGAUUUUGGGAGCUGUUCAGGUGUUGGAAAGGCGAAGGGCUGGUUGCCAACAUAGCAGAGGCCACGAAUGUUCUAGAAAGGCUCAAGAAUCACGCACUUAUCACUGAAGAAGAACAAGAAAGUUGGGAAAUAGUGCCGAGACAAACGAAGUAUUACAGGAUCCACGAUGCGUUGCUGGCUCUUGCUUUGCACAUCCUGGAACGAGAAGGCCCCAAGUGUUAUUUCAAGGCUGGGCAGUCGCAGAUGAGGGAUGUGGGGGACGCCUUCACGAGUAACUACAGCAGGAUUUCACUGUUUGAGUGUGGAAUUUCGGAAAUCCCUCUGCCUAAGAAGAACAGGGUCAAAGUUUCCAGCACCACUUGCCUGCUCUUGGAUUAUAAUCUCGACCUCACUGCAUUGCCAAGCCUCUCUCUUUUCAAAGGCUUGAAGGUUUUGUGCCUGAGUCGCACUGGGGUGGUAAGUUUGCCACAUAGCAUUGGACAGCUCAAGACUCUGGAGACUCUGGAUUUGUCUUCGAGUAGGUCACUCCAAAGCAUCCCAGAUUCACUGGGCAACUUGGCGAAUUUAUCAUAUUUGAACUUGGAAGGCUGUUUGCGACUAAAGUCUUUCCCUGUGGAUGCUUUGCUCAAACUCACCAAGCUGGUCUACUUAAACGGAAGGGGAUGUUGUGGAAUGUGGACAUGCCACAGGCUGCAUCAUCGGCUUUUCAAACAGAAGAAAUGCUUGAACAGGAGGUUUGGAAGACUCUAUCUGGAUGGGAUGUUUCAGGCAUUGACAAAGUUGGAGGUGUUGAUUAUUGAUACACAGUUGGCUGUGGAUCUACCAGCAAGCACAGGCAAACUGGCCCAUUUGAAACAGUUGGAAAUACAGGGUUGCAAACAGGGAAUAUGUGACAGCUUUCAAGGCUUGCCCGACCUUGAGAUUUUGAAACUCUGGGGAUUGGAGCUUCCAUUGACCUCAGACUGGGACUGGAGCAGAUUUCCGAGGUUGAGAACUUUGGAAGUGAGCUGCUUUGGGAAAAGUGACUUUAAAGUAACCUGCAGCAUGGAGAACUUGCAGGAAUUGAAACUCUGGGGAUUGGAGUUUCCAUUGCCAGACUGGGACUGGAGCAGAUUUCCGAGGUUGAGAACAAUGGAAGUGGGACACUUUGGGCAAAGUGGCUAUAAAGUAACCUCCAGCAUGGAAAACUUGCAAAAAUUGGUUAUUAAGGCCAAUAACCACCUUGAGGGGCUUCCUUUCUUAACACAGGAAAUGUUUCCCACGCUGACAAUACUCUGCCUUGAGGGAUGCCAAAAGUUGAUUGGGGUGCCCACCAUCUCUCAACUGGCAUCACUCAAGGUCCUCAACAUCGCCAGGUGUCCCUCCUUGAAGGACCUCUCCAUCUCGUUCCUUCCAAAUCUAGAGAUAGUUCUUCUAGAUACCUGCAACGAAGUGACUACCAUCAACAUAUCCGAGUGCCCAUCACUGACAGUUGUUCAAAUUCGCUCCUUUCGCAUGCAUGCCCGUGUUGCAUUCGGUGGCAACUUCCCACGACUUGAAGCAAUAACCCUUGGUGGAUUUGAACAGCUUCCAGACUCUCUAGGUGCCAUGGAUGCCUUCUCACAGCUGAGGUGGCUGCAACUAUACAGCUGUGGUAUUGACCAACAACCAGAAUGGUUCGCAUCACUCACAACGUUGAGAACUCUGGGAUUAAAUUUUUUGGAGAACUUGGAUGUGAUACCCGAUGGUGUUGCAAGGCUUCCUUUGCUAAGGGAGCUUGAUCUGAGAGGUUGCAAGAAGAUCAACAUGUUACCCUUUGCAGAUUCUGAAGACAGCUCCUUCUAUCCAUCCUUGGAGAACUUAUGCUUGAGAAACACAUCUGUCUCUCAAGAGCACCUCUCGGAACGCCUUCGAAAAAUUGCAAAGGUUUAAUGGGAAGUUUUUUAGAAGAUGAGGACCUCUGCAAUAACCAAAUCUCAAAUUAACGAAGCUUUGGAACAAUGCAAAGAGUCCAUCUUUCAUGAUCAGUGUCAUGUUGGCAGUACUCCAGUUCAACCUGGAAAACGAACAGACAGAAUCAUAGUACCAAAGCAACAAGCCUCGUUUUACCUCGAGCAAACAAACCAGCACCCAUAAAGAGAUCACGCACAGGUUCGCACGAGAAUCAAGACGGAGCAUCUUCAUUUCAUACAAACCUGGCCAUCUUGAGAGUGCUCCACCGGGUAGAUGCCAAGAAGAGCAUCUCGCUCGCGAUCUGACGAAGCCGAGCGUGGUAUUCCGCCGAGGGAUCCACCGCUGCGCGGCCUGGCGGCUGCUGCUGGAUGCUGUUGGUGAUAUCCACGCAGGUGUUCCAGAUCCGGUAGCUCAGCUUCCAGAUUUGCAGCCGCUGCUCCUCGGAGAGCUCGGAUUUGAGGCCAAGCACGCAUUCUUGGAGUUCGGAGAAGUCUGCUCGAUGUUGCAAACGAGGCGCUCGAUUCUCCGCAGCGGAUUCACAGUAGCCUCAUCCCUGGAUCCCUGGAUCACUAAGUACCUCCGAGAUGAGCAUCGUGAGAGGAAGCGAUCGCCGCGUAGCCCUAGAAUAUUUUCCCUUUCCUCUUUGUUAGGGCUCGGGAAUCGAUCGGUGCGCCAUGGGACAGCAAUGGAGGCGUGGAAGGUAUGGAAUCUCUCGUAGUUGCCGCUUCACAGCUUUAGUCUUACCACUGUGUGAGCUUGAGCAAGAUUUUCCGCGAGAAGUACGUUCGCUACACGAGUGGUGCUUUAGUUCCUGCCAUCCGUUUUUAAUGGUUUCGUUUAAAAAAUUCCUGGUUGUCUGGAGGAAUCUCUGAUCAUGAGUCCUUCUGGUGAAGCAGCUCGAGAGGACGGAUCCAGAGAGCUCCCUCAGCGUCAUGUCAAGGACGAAAUUCCCAAAUCGUCUUCGCCAACGAUUCACUACCUUCUGCGGAGGAGUGAGUAUCGACAUACUCUCUUCAGCGGCAUCGUCACACUCAGUCAGCAUCAUGGGAGGGUAAAGUUGAUCUUUUUACUUCGGCUUGCAGAGCGGUCCUUCUCAAAUGCAUUCAGUGUCUGCAGCUUCCUGAUAAUGCUCGUUGUGGCCUCGGCAAAUACUUACACUUGUGAUCUGCUUCUCAAACAAGCUUAUUCUCGAUUAUGAGUCUCUCGCUUUCCACAUUGGCGGGAAGUGGUGGAAGGUUCUCUCUUUUUUUUGUUUUUCUUUUCUUUUUUUAAGUUUCUAAAAGCUUUCUCUCUUUUCUUUUUUUUCACACCUUCCUACCGAAAUGAGCAUAGUGGUUCUGCUCAUUGGGAAUGCCAACAGGUAGUAGGCGUGUGCUUAUGAUCCUGUCCGUCGUCUUCAUUGUCGCUCCACUUUGCCUGGUCGAAAAAGUGAGACAAGUAUAAUUUUGACAUUUUUUGUCUUUUGAUUUAACUUCAAUGCAGCUCGAAUUUUUUGCAACUGUAGGAACAUCGAUUGUAAUCUGGCUAGAAACUUUCAGUAUUUUUACCUUGAUUGACAGGCUGACCACCAAUAUUCUAUUGACCGCAACCACGACAUUCUUUUCUUACCCUCUUAUCGUUGGGAAUUCCAGAGACAAUAACCUAUUGAAAGAACGCAGAGAAAAAAUCUAAAGGACCAUUUGGACAGUCCCGGGAGGAGGAGACUCUGGAUGAAAUUUCAAUUGCAGGGAGAUUUAAACAGCCAGGGAUGGAAAUAGACGUCUUUACUGCGAAAAGAGGAAGAAAUGUUUCAAUCCACUUCGCCUUGACCUUCCUAGUUCUUGUACUUUGAACUCCUUUUCGAGGCUGUCCUGGUCCUGACCUGAUGCUCAGGUGUAAACCAGAGCAGCGAAUCGCCGCGACUCAUGUUACGUAGCAUCUUGAUAAAGUCCUGCCCGGGCAGAUUGAUCUACUGCGUAGAAAAGCCAAACAAUUCAGAUGUCUUUCCAGAAGAACUUCGGUACUCUAAACGUUAGUAUGAUCGUACCUGGGGAUCGUACCUUGUAUCUCGUGCACGUAGCGAGUAGGGGAAGUUUGGACAGUUUUCACCCCGGAACUUGAUGUAAGCUCGGUCAUAGAUCCUGUGAUUAAACAUUUUAUCAAAAAUCUUUCUAGAAAAGAAAGGAAACAAACCUGGCUGCGGCUUCUGGGGUGCUGGAUGACUCGAUGUAUAUCUGUUUGUUCUUGUCGACAGCCCUGAUGGUUAUAGAUCCAUAACUUGGACGGAUGGGCGACACACGGUGUCCAGCCCAGUGGCUGUGAAGACCAUGGCUUGAUCAUGAUUCUUAUGGAGUAGACGGGGUUGCGAGGCAGAAGAGUUGAUAGCAUGCCUUUCACUCCCGACGACGUUUCAUGUGACUACACAACGUUGUGGAGUGUGGGAACAAGUACACUCCUGACAAUGACCACAAGGUGUAUUUCGAUCCAGUUUUGUGGCUAACCGUUCCUAAGAUUAUCGCAACUGCAUGCAACAUGGUUUAUAUUUCCUCAGGUGGAAGCAAAGCAACACGAGCUUGCCAAACUAAUCAGAAUAGAAGGUCGGACCGGCAAUGAAACGGGGCUUGCAGGAAAAGGUGCUUGCUGGUGUUGGAUAAUGUCUGGAAAUCCGGUCUGUUUGGUGUGGUGCAAGAGAAUGGAAGCAAGAUCUUUAUUACCAGUCGAAAAAUUGAUGUGCUUGGCAGCAGAUGUGCAAUCAAAACAGAGAUGGGGCUCUUGGGAAAAGUUGUUCACAGUCCACGCAUUCCCAAACCAGAAACUUGCUAGUUCAAGGUAGUAGUGGAGUGAGUUGUGGGCAAGUGUGGGGGGCUUCCACUGCUCCUGAAGGUAAUUGGCAGAAGAAUGGCAGGCACUUAAGAUUGGGACUAUGUUCUAAGCAAACUGUAAAAAUCUGCACUUGAACGUCAUGCACUUAUCACUGAAGAAAAAGAGCUCUUCCUUUACACACCCUGGAACAAAUGCCCCUUGGAAGUGUUACCUCAAGGCUGAAAGGUCUCAUACCAGGGAAUGCCUUCAGUAACUACAACAAGAUUUCACUCGUUGGGUGUAGAAUUUCUGAAAAUACCCCCCUACCUAUGCAGAUGAAAGUCAGAGUUUCAAGCACCACUUGCUUGCUCCUGGAUUAUAAUCCCCAUUGCACUCUAACUACAUUACGGUUUUGUGCCUAAGUAACACUGGGGUGGUAAGUUUGCCAUAUAGCAUUAGACAGCUCAAAACUCUAAAGACUAUGGAUUUGACUUGGAACAUAAUACUCCAAUACUCUAAUGUUUCCCAUCCGGACAUUGUCAAACCUCUCCCUUGGGAAUUGUGAAAAAUUGAUUGGGGUGCUAAGAUCCUUGAAAUCUCCUCAUUUAAGGACUUCUGCAUCUUGUUGCUUCCAAAUCUAAAGACAAUUUGCAUUGGUUACUGUGACGGAGUGACCACCCUCAACAUAUACGAGUGCAUUAGAGACGUGUUGAAGUUGUGAAUUUUGGUUCAGUGGCAAGUUCCCCUUAAACAAACAUUGCGUUAUUCACCAGCUUCCAAAAUGGUACACAUCAUUCACGAACUCUGGAAUUGAGUUAUCCAAAACUUCUUUCCUUCAGUUGACUCCCCGUAUGUUUGACUGUUUGUUGAACUUUGAAAAUGUUUUCAUGUCUGGAAUAUUGGCGCCACAUCUCAGACUAACGAAGCUUGGGAACAACGGGAAGUCCAUCUUUCAUGAUCAGCGUCAUGUUGAUACCGUAGCAAGGCUCUUCUUUUCCCACCACCACAAGCUCAAACUUUGGUACCAGAGCCGCCACCACAUACUUCAUCUGUAGCAUGGCCAUCUCUUUGCCCAGACACACUCUCGGCCCGGCCUGAAACACCGGAAACUUGAAUGGACUCACCUCGACGAACUGGCCAUCGUGGAUCCAUCUCUCGGGCUUAAACUCGAGGCAGUCCUUCCCCCACAAGCUCUCCAUCCUUCCAAUAGCGUAGACGUGAUACGAUACCUUCAUCCCCUUCUCCACACAAUUACCAUCCGGGAGAACGUCCGAGUUCUUCACGACCUUUGUGUCAAUCGGCACUGGGGGAUAGAGCCUCAUUGAUUCGCACAGAGCUGCUUGCAAGUAGACCAUGUCCCGAAGCUCUUUGUAAGUGAAUGGCCUGUUUGACCCUUUCGCGACUAUACUCCCGACUUUCCUGAUGAUUUCCUGCUGAACGCCUGGAUGAUUCGAGAGCAGCCAGAAGAACCACGAGAGUGACACCGCUGUUGUGUCCUUGCCGGCGAGCACGAAACUUAUGAUGAUAUCCCGCAAAAACUCGUCAGAGAAGCUCGUCGAGUCGAGUCCAAUGAACCUCGAGAGCAAGUCCUGGUUGACCCUUCCUUUUUCUUCUCGCCGCUUCUGGACCACUGACACUGCAAACUCGUUCACCACAUCCAGCACCUCCUUGAGUUCUCUUUCCGGUCCAACGUUGAGAGCUCGCAUUAAUUUCCACACCAGAGGAUGGAUCUUUUGGAACCGCAGCGUGCUAAGCGUCGUUGCCUUGUCAAAUGCCUGCGCGAACUUCACAUCCGGAAACGAUGGAUCCAAGCACGCUGGAUCAACACCGAAAGAGAGCUUGCAAAUGUUGUCGAAGUUAAACCUCAUGAACAAGUCCUGUAAGUCGAUCUCCUUCCCGUCCCGGGAAACACUGGCAAGAGUUGGAAGUAACCGGCUGUGAACUUCGUCCGCCAGGGAAUCCAUGAGGAACUCCCUCAGUGACCUCGUUGUGAACUCGAAGCUCGCAAGUCUCCUCUGAAUCUUCCACAGCUCCCCGUCGACAUUGAAAAUACCAUCUCCCAGCAAGUCGGUCAGGCUCUGCCUCAGGUGUUCUCCCUUGGGAUAAUUCUCGAAGUUGGUCUUCAAGAUGUGCUCCACAGUUGCGGGAUUGCCAGUGAUUUUGAAAGUGCUGCCAAACCUCCCAGUGGUGAAAGUAUUGGAGGGAGAGUUGAUCACAUACUCUGUCGACCACUCCAGAAACCUGUGGCUGUUGCGAAGGAAGUCGAACACAUUCCCAACCACUGGAUAAAGUACUGGACCGCCUGUUCGUUGCGAGUCGGCUCUUGAUUGAAUCGUCCUCCGGACUAUCCAGCCCACCGCUGCCGCAAGAACAAAGCUCAAGCUCCACAACAUACCUUGGUUCAUGCUGAAAGCCCAGAAAAAGAGUGACGCAUGUCAGUCGCCCUGACCAGUUAAAAACCCAAGUCACAAGGGAAGAAAAGCCAGCCAAAGAAAAAGAUUCGAAGAAGCUACUUUGCCAUACGAUAAGAGAUACGGCAGUCAUUUGAGACGGUGCGUACCAGUGGAUCUGAAAGUCACCAAGUCAAGUCAUUACAAAAGAAAUCUAGAUUUCUAGUACCUUGCUGAAGUUUGGAAUGACCCAUGUUUUCUGUUGAGAGCUCUUCUAUUUCCUCCACCCGAAAUUCAAUUUUGGUACCGGAGUUGCUUCAUCGUCUUGACUCUCGGCUCAGCCAGAAACACUAGAAACUUGUCUCGGCCUUAAACUCGAGGCAUUUCUUAUCUUCUCCAUCCGGACGACUGUAGUAUCAUAUGGGAGGAUACAGCCUCACAAAGCUGCUUGCGAGUAGAGCUCGUCGUAAGAGAAUUUACCUUCGCCAGUAUACUCUGAUAAUUUCUCACGGGUUGAAAGCACCCAGAAGAACCAGGAGCAGUUGUGUCCUUCCCAACCAGCAAAAACUGAUGACGAUUAACUCGAUUUUUGUCAGAGGUUCUAUGUUCUAUUUACUGAAAGAGCAAGUCGUUCAAAUCAAGGAGUGAAUUCUUAGAAACUGGAGUUGCUUACGUAUGGUCAGGCUUCAUGAACUUUGCGUGAACCCAGACUCGCUUCAUAGGAACUUUAGUUUUGUGAUUCACCAGCUUAAUGCAGCAGUACUCCAGUUCAACCUGGAAAAAGAACAGACAGAAUAAAAAUAACAAGGAAACAAGCCUCGUUUUACCUCGAGCAGUCCAGCACCCGUAAAGAGAUCACGCACGGCUUCGCACGAGAAGAAAUACGACAAGGUACCAUCGAGACGGCGAUAGCAAUUAGCAGCUACUUUUUGGUCUGCUGGAAAUCUCAACAUCGUCAUGUCAUACAAGCCUGUAAGCUUGCCACUGUGAGUCUUACUUCACGGAGAAAUAGCAUACCAUAAUCUCGAAAGAGAAGCAUUCCACCGGGUCGGAGUACAGAGCAACAUUCUUUGAGAAGGUUGCUCAUUUGAUCCAGAUCUGCCAGCGCGGAAAGAGCGAAAAUCUGAAAAGACAAAUCAGUUUUAAUUGCAAGACAAUUUCAGGCUUACCAGCGUGAUGAAAUCUGCUCCUCCUUCGCAGCAGCUUACAAGGGAGCUCUUGAUACCAAAGUCAGAGGCUCGACAGGCGUCACAAGCCAGCCACGUCGGAAGUGCCUCGCAGGAAGGAUCGCAAACAAAAGUCCAAAGCCUCGACUUUGCUUGCUCAUUCAAAGCUUUCUCUCCCAUUUUGUUUGUGAGGCUCACGGCAGCCUCACUGAGGUCGCAAGCAUACACUCUAGCGGUUGUUGUUGCUCUGGAACAAAAUAAGUCCUUCAGUAAGAGGGAAUAGCAAACAACAUCAAACCUCAAUGGCCGAACUUCCAGCUCCACAUCCAACCUCCAGAACAGUGAAGUCUUGAUUAGAUCUUCCAAGCUCAGGGAACUCUUUGAGAAGAUACCUACGUUCCUGCAAUGUGGAAAGCCCGUAAGGCAACAGUGCAGUGCUGAUGCUUACUUUAAAGAAGAAGCCUUGAGAGUGUCGGCUGUGAAACUUCUCCCAUGCCAAGGCUGCAGUACAGGCAUGCUCGCUAGAAAUCACCUCGUCUUCUACGCGAGCCAAAUCCUAGCCAAAGAGAACAAGCCAUUGAUCAGUAAAAGGAAACAAUAUAAUGUAAGCCCAACCUGUGCGCUCUCCACACUAAUUAUAGUAAUAUAACAUAUGGACCAUUCAUUUAGGAUUAAAUUUGGUUCAUCCAUUCUUAUAUAUAAGUAGGGGUGUAAACCCCAAUUAAGAUACAUAAUUUUAUAUCUCAAGCACUCACAACUUGAACAAUUAUAUAUUAUAGCUCAGAACUAAUAGUUUAAUUUGCAACCAUACUAAAUAAAUGUGAUUGUAAAGAAAAAGAAAAUUAUAAAGCUUGUCUCUUAAACAAUAUUUAUUUAAAUAUUUAUUUUAGAUUUUUUUUAAAUUCUAAAAAAUACUUAAUGUAAUAAUUUAAUAUAUUAUUUUCAAUAUAUAGUUUUUUAAAAAUAAAUUAUACACUGUAUAUAAAAGUGAGGUAUAAUCUUAUUAAUUUCUUACUUAGAAAACAUAAAGAAUCCAAAUAUAAAAAAUAAUUACAUAUCCUUUCUUACUUAAUAUAAUUAAAAUAAUAAAUAAAUUAAAUUAUGAAAAUAAUUAAAAUCAGUGGUAUUGUGUUAUUUUAAUGUUUUUAAGUAAAGUAAAAUGUGGUAAUAUAUCUUAUGAUUAUAUUUACAGCAUAUUUUGUUACUUUUAAGAAUUUAAAUAAAUACAAUUUAAAAACUAGCAUGCAUCCUCAUAUACACCAUUAUUUCAAAAUUUUAUGAAGUCAUGCCAGAUAGAAGGAAGAAUGUAACCAUCUUGAAAGUGUUCAACCUGAUGGAUCCAAUGGCACUAGAUUAUAAAAGCAUCUCGACAAAGGUACACAUGGUAUUCCCUUGAGAGGUCUGGCGGUUGGUAGCUUAGCUCCAAGAUUUGCAGCCAUUACACCUGUUAUGAUCCGGAGCAAAAAGACAAAGAUCUAGUUGCCCAAGACUAUGCUACACCACCUCUUGAGGUUCCUCACCACCCAACCACCCCCGAGCUACCUCAAAAGCUCCACUGCGCCGCCGCUCCAUUGUGAGCCCUAGGGUAGGUUAAGUCCCUUACCCUAACAUGCCUUAAUAUACCCUUGAGCCUCCCUUUGACCGACGUUGACCACGUAGUCAAAGCUGGCGCCUAACAAUUCUUCCCCCCCAACAAAGUCCUUGUCCCAAGGACGAGUUGUACCGGUGAUCACCCUUUCUGGGGAAUCCUGCUCAAGCUCCUGGUCCAUCUUCCACAGCCGUAUACAUCAAGGAGGCAUUGGGCCCGUCACUCCGAGAUAGUACACCUUUCAACUAGCUGACAUAAAAUACCGGAUGAAUUUUCACCCCAACUGGCAGCCGCACUCGAUAAGCCGCUUUACCAAUGCGCUCCAGCACUUCAUAUGGACCAGCAUAUCGAUGGGAAAGUUUAUCACUCUUCCCUGUCCGUAAAGGCACCAAGGUGUUCCGCCGCUCACUUGACGGAAAGAUCACUCGCACAAAGACGAGAUCACCCAUCUUAUAUUCCCGGAAUUGGCGAUGCUCAUUGGCAAACUUCUCCGCUCUAUCCUGAGCUGCUUGCAAAUUCCGUUUGCACACCACCAGAAUCUCAUCAAGUUCUGUGUCCAGAUCAGUUGCCUCGGAAUCAAGCUUAUCUUGAACGUCCUUACUCAAAUGCAAUCCCAACUCCACCGCUGUUCGAGGAUGCCUUCCAAACAUGGCAAAGUAAGGACUUAGUUUGGUUCCACUGUGUUGGCUAUUGUUGUAAGCAAAUUGCACCAACGGAAGAUAUAAAUCCCACUGUCCUUGCCUUUGACCAAUGCUACAACGUAGCAUAUCCUCCACCACCUGAUUCACACGCUCAGUUUGCCCAUCCGUCUGAGGAUGAUCUCCACUCGAGAGUUUCAAAGUCACUUGCAUAGCCUUUGCAAAGCUUUUCCAAAAUCCACUAGUGAACUUUGAAUCUCGAUCACUAAUGAUGUUCUCCGGCAAACCAAAAUCAGGAAAAACCUUCUCCAAGUAAACCGCAGCCAAGUCUGAGGCAGUGACAGUCUUCCGAAGAGCCAACAACCGCACAUACUUCGUCAACCGAUCCACUAUGACCCAUACUUGCUCCUUUUGCCUUUGUGUUCGUGGCAAACAAGUGAUGAAGUCCAUAGAGAUACUACACCAACGGCUCUGAGGAAUAGGUAAAGGUUGCAAAAGUCCCCCCGGCUUCUCCCGUGGCACCUUAACCCGCUGACAAAGCUCGCAUGAUUUACAAUACUUGAGGAUAUCAGCCUUCAUAUUCCUCCAAUAAAAGUUGCGCUUAAUCAACUCAUACGUCUUCUUCCCCCCAAAAUGACCGGCCUCUGGACGAUCAUGAUAGUGGAAUAAAACUUGAGUAAUUAACGCAUCCACCCGUGGCAAAUAGACACAGCCAUUGUAGUAGAGAAUCCCAUCCACCAAUGAGAAAGGAGCUUCCAUCUGGUCUCGCAAAGAGGCCACCUCAGCAUCCUGAGCCUGAGCAUGCUCAACCAACUGCCCAAACUCGCUGACCACCUUACUCAAAUGAUGACAAAAUCGUGUUCGUAACGUCGUCACAUGACGAACACGAGAUAAAGCAUCCGCCACCACAUUUGAUUUUCCCGGACGAUGCUCAAUAGGAAACUCCCCAAACUCCAUGAGUUUGACCAUCCAACGAGCUUGCCUAGUGUUCAACUCCUUCUGUGUGAAAAGAUACACAAGUGGUUUGUGAUCUGUCAACACCACGAACACUGCACCAUAAAGAUAGUGCCGCCACGUCCGCAAAGCAUGAACAAUAGAGAGUAACUCUUGCUCAUAUGUGGAAUAGCGUUGCUCCGCGGAAUUCAAAGUUCGACUCUCAUAUGCAAUAGGCUGUCCCUCUUGCAUGAGAACUCCUCCCAGUGCAUAACCACUCGCAUCGCAUGUCACCUCGUAAGGUUUCGAUGGAUCAGCAAUGCGAAGCACUGGAGCCUCGAUCAACAAUCGUUUCAGCGCCACAAAACUCUCCUCUUGUGGCGUCUUCCACUCGAAUGGCACAUUCUUGCGUAACAACCGCGUCAACGGAAUAGCCACCUCUGCAAACUUAUGCUGGAAACGUCGGUAGUAACUAGCCAUACCAAGAAAACUGCGCAACUCGGCCACUGUAGUCGGUGUAGGCCAGUUUUCCACCACAGCCACCUUCCUUGGAUCCGUCUUGACACCCUUAGAUGUCACAAUAUGGCCUAGAUAUUCCACCUCCGACUUUGCAAAUUCACAUUUGCUCUUCUUCGCAUAAAGUUUGCUGUCUCGAAGUAACGAAAGAACCUUGCGCAAAUGCACCCUAUGCUCCUCCAUAUUCUUGCUAAAAACAAGAAUAUAAUCCAAGAAAAUCUCCACAAACUCAUGAAGAUAAUGCCCAAAUACCUCCGUCAUCAACCGAGUAAAUGUGGCCGGUGCAUUCGUCAAACCAAACGGCAUAACGGUAAACUCAAAAUGUCCAAAGCUUGUGUUGAAUGCCGUCUUGGAGAUAGAUGCAUCAUCCAUUGCAAUCUGAUGAUAUCCACUCCUCAGAUCAAUCUUGGUAAACACUUGUGCUUCACCAAGCUUGUCUAGGAUAUCAUCCACACGUGGCAUCGGCAUCUUGUCCUUCAUUGUCUUCUUGUUUAAAGCACGGUAGUCAAUACACAUCUACAUUGAACCGUCCUUCUUCUUCACAAGCAAGACCGGAGCACCAAACGAAGACUUACUUGGCUGAAUAAAUCCAAACUCAAGUAACUCCUUGACUUGUCGUUGAACUUCUUGCUCCUCCGCAUAACUUAACCGAAAUGGACGCCGGUAAAUUGGCCGCGUCCCCGGCUCCAAUAUAAUCCCAUGCUCCACACCUCGUAAUGGAGGCAAUCCAUGAGGAAGUUCAGAUGGAAAAACAUCAGAAAACUCAUCAAGUACAUCCCGUACUGCUGCUUCUCCCCCACACGUGCCUUGGUCCCCCAAGUCACGAACAAACAGCAAGUAACUUGAAAGUGCUUUUCCAUUACGACAAGCCCGCUUCAAAGAUGUAGUAGAGAGCAUAACAACUGGUGGUUGAACGCCCUCGCCAAACCACACAUCUUUAACGCCACCAUACUCCAGCGAGAUAUGCUUAAUGCUCCACUUUAUCUCUGGAUCCACCUUCACCAACCAUGGCAUCCCAAGAAUGAGAUCCACACGAUGGAUAUCCGCGAGAUAAAAAGUCUCCACAAGUGUGGUUUUGCCAACCAACACUUCCAGCCCCUUGACACAAGCAUCGAAAUGCUGAGCAAAGGUAGCUGCACCUUCCACUGUGUAUGGAACAACUCCACGUGUGUUCAGGCGAUGCUCCGCAACAAACUUUGCCGAAACAAAGUUGUCAUCACUCCCACUAUCCAGUAAAAUCCGCACUGGAUCGCCACGGAACACGCCCUCCAGCAUUAAAGCUGAUUCACGCGUAUCCUCGAGCUCCAUCUUGUUCCACACACAGUUGAGUUGACGAGCAACGAUCGAAAGUCUCUUCCUCCGACCGGAAUGGUCGUUCUCGUCAUCCUCACGCUGUAAAGCUUGCAACUUUUUAGUAUCUGACUUACCGUGAGAAGAUGAUUGGCCAUUCUUCUUGUCCUGCUGCUUGUUCUUCAACUGCGGACAAUCAGCCUUGUAGUGUCCAAGUUCGCCGCAAUGAUGACAACCCUGUCUAUAAUUCUUCACAAAGAACUUCUGCUUCUUGGACCCCUUUGCAUCUGAAGUAGUCACCACCGACUUCAACUUGUGAUGCUUGUUCCCCUCCUUGUGUCCACGGCGAUCAUCACGACGAUUCUCGACAGAAGGACUCCGCGAACGCUUGCGAGACUUGUGCUUGUCAUUGUCAAGGCGACGAGCCACAUCAAAGAGCUCCUCCAAACUCUUUGUAGGCUGAGAAUGACGCAAGUGUUGCCGCAUACUCUCACUAUGGAGGCCAUCAAUGAAGUAGGACUUGUUCUGAUCUGGAUCCUUCGUUGGAACACGACUAAUCAAGCGAGUAAGCUUCUCAAUAUAGUCCCCGAGCGUCAUUUUCCCUUGCUGGAAAUGGCGAAGUUCUGUACGAGCAUUCUCCACGUCGUAAUGAGGGGCAAAACGUAAACGAAAAGUAGCCUCAAACUCAUCCAUGGUAAACACCGGUGGUUUCUUAUCCGCAACACGGGACUCCUCAAGCCAAUUCCACCAUCGAAGACCCGCAUCACGCAAAACCAUCGGAAUAGCCACUAAAGCCUCUGCAUCUAGAGUUCCUCUAGCAGCCAAGAACUUCUUCACAUUGGCUAGCCAAGCGAGACACUCGUCCACACCACCAUCACCGGAAAAGGUUGGAAUCUUGAGUCGAUCUACCAAAGAAGGCUUACUUGGAGCGCUACCCCGUCCAGCCUCGAGUGCCUCAACACGCCCACGCAUGGUAUCCAUCAUGCCAUGCAUCUCGUCUUGCAUCUCUUGCUGAUUUUUAUUAAGGGCUCGCAGCUCAUGAACCACAUCUUGAAUGGUCCAAAUCUCUGCAGCUUCGUCGGCACCAUUGUCGGCACCACCUCGGAUCCUAACAUUGGUAUCGGAGCCCAGUUCGAUUCUUGUGGCUGACGAGUGGGGCAGGAAUAUUCUGAAGGAAUAUUCAACAUGGUGGAUCUAGAGGGAGAACCAAAGUUUGGUAAACCCUAAGAGAAGGACCAUGGUGACCGGAUGGUGGCCUAAGUAUGAUCGCGGACAAUCAUUCCCUGAUGAAAGGGAGGAUUGUUAGGCACCAGGUCAGGAUAAUAGGAUAAAGAAAGGGCACUACAAUCAAGUGAUCACCCCUUUAGCCAGUUGGCUUAGGGUGUAAGGGAUAAGAUCCUAACAGCACCUCUCAAAGCUUAGAUUUGACAUUCUUGGAGCUCUUUGGCAAUAUCAACAUUGAUUCUCAGAGAAAAAGCCUGCUAGGUGUUCGAUCCUUUGCAGCAGAUUCACAGUAGCCACAUUGCCAAUCCCUGGAUCACUACGCACCUCCGAGAUGAGCAUCUUGACAGCAAGCUAUCCCUCGUCCAGUCCUGCCAAGCCUAGAAUAGUUUCCCGCUCAACUUUGAAUCGGCAAGAUGUACACGUGGCCACCCGUAAUUGGGUUUUGUCGGUGGAAUUAAACAUUGCCACGUGUAAGAAGUUUUGAUGCGAGAACAAGACUGCCAGUACAUGUACAGCCUGACAGCUAAUGCGACCAUUAAAAAAGCAAUGGAUGGUCUCUUGGUGGGACAUUGAUUUGAUCUUCUCUUCUUUUGAAAGGUACGCUUGUUACACGCGACUAGUCUAAGUCGUGCUUUAGUCUUCUUUUCCUCCGUUUUUAAUGGUGUCAUCUAAAAAAUUAGAAAACGCGCACGCGAGAGAACCCACUUUGCAUCAUUUUGUAUGUCUGAACUGGCGAGUUUCAGUGCAAGAAAGAAAAGAAAAAGAAACAGCAUUUUACCUUGAAAAGGUGUCGAGAUUGUCGUCCAAGAAUUCACGAGUCUGUUAAGCAAAAUACAGAGCUUGUAUCCAUGGCCAGCCUCGAUCCCACGGGUGUGCUGGGAGCGCUUGUUUCUGAAGCUCUUAAAGAAGUGAUUGCGCUUGCCAAGUCUGCCAUUCAUUGCAAGAAGAAGUGCAGCGAGUUGGAAGUUUCAUUGACCGAAGCAUCAGGUCUGCUAGGUGAAAUGAAGAGAUAUUCUGCUGCCGAGGGCUCUCUGAGCUCCUCACAACUGGAUUCCUGGCUGAAAGCCCUCCAAGCCAAGGUUGAAGAGGCUAAACCUCUUGUUCUUGAAUGCCAGUCUCUGCAAAAUCCCAUUCUAGAUGGCGUAAAGAGGUUGGUUGGUUGUGCUUCUCUUGGGAUAUUUCUGAAUUGAGUUUGUGAUUUUGUUUCAGGAUAACACUUGCUACCAAGAUCGAAGACUGCUCCAAGGCGAUCCAUGGGCACUUGGCUGCAGCUCCUCGACAUCUUGUCGUUGAGCUUUUGUUGAAGAAGCCAAAAGAGGUGCCCUCUAAUGUGGUUCCAAAGGAAGAACAGCAUGUGGUUCCUCUGGAUGACCACAUUUUCGGUAUGGAAGAGACGCUAGAGCGGGUUGUAUCAAACUUGCUGGGGUCCCCUGUAAGCAGAAAGUGGAUUGGAGUCCAUGGAGCAGGAGGUGCUGGAAAAACACUCCUGGCCAAACGAGUAUGUGACAACGAUCAAGUCAAGGGGCGUUUCGAUCCAGUUUUGUGGCUAACAUUCGGUCAGUCGGUUCAGGUACGUUCCUCAAGCGUAUAAUGUAACAUAUUGAGCGGCUAUGGUUGUAUCUCCUCAGGUGGAAGCAAAGCAACACGAACUUGCCAAAAAAAUCCGACUAGAAGGUGAUCAGAUCAGCAAUGAAACUCUGAGGAGGGGGCUUGUUGGGAAGAGAUGCUUGCUAGUGUUGGAUGAUGUCUGGAAGUUCAUUCAUUUGGAUCUGUUUGAUGUGGUGCAAGAGAAUGGAAGCAAGAUCUUCAUUAGCACUCGAAAACGUGAUGUGCUUGACAGUAGAGGUGCAAUCAAAACCGAGAUGGGGCUCUUGGGUAAGGAGGACAGCAUGAAGUUGUUCGCAGUCCACGCAUUCCCAAACCAAAAUCAUGCUCAAGUCAGCAAGGCAGUGGUGGAGCAAGUUGUGGAAAAGUGUGGGGGGCUUCCAUUGGUCUUGAAGGUAAUUGGCAGAAGAAUGGCAGCCACACAAGAUUGGGACUAUGUUCUGAGCAAACUCAAGGAUCAACAACUUAUUGCUCUUGAUGAGGAACAACAGGUACUGGAGCGACUCAAGCUGGGUUAUGAUGCAUUGUUGCCCCUUCGCAUCCAGCAGCACUUUCUCUUCUUUGCUGCAUUUCCAGAAGACUGGCCGAUUCGAUUUUGGGAGCUGUUCAGGUGUUGGAAAGGGGAAGGGCUGGUUGCCAACAUAGCAGAGGCCACGAAUGUUCUAGAAAGGCUCAAGAAUCACGCACUUAUCACUGAAGAAGACCACUGGCGGGAUUAUAAGAGGUACAGGAUUCACGAUGCGUUGCUGGCUCUUGCUUUGCACAUCCUGGAAAAAGAAGUCCCCAAGUGUUAUUUCAAGGCUGGGCAGUCGCAGAUGAGGGAUGUGGGGGACGCUUUCACGAGUAACUACAGUAGGAUUUCACUGUUUGGGUGUGGAAUUUCGGAAAUCCCUCUGCCCAAGAAGAACAGGGUCAAAGUUUCCAGCACCACUUGCCUGCUCUUGGAUAAAAAUCCCCGUCUCACUGCAUUCCCAAGCCUCUCUCUUUUCGAAGGCUUGAAGGUUUUGUGCCUGAGUCACACUGGGCUGAUAAGUUUGCCACAUAGCAUUGGACAGCUGAAGACUCUGGAAACGCUGGAUUUGUCUUGGAAUGAUUCACUCAAAAGCAUCCCAGAUUCACUGGGCAACUUGGCGAAUUUAUCAUAUUUGAACCUGGAAAACUGCAGGAAACUCAAGUCUUUCCCUGUGGAUGCUUUGCUCAAACUCACCAAGCUGGUCUACUUAAACGGAAGGGGAUGUCGGAGAAUGUGGACAUGCCACAGGCUGCAUCAUCGGCUUUUGAAACAUCAGAAAUGCGUAAACAGAAAGCUUGGAAGACUCCAUCUGGAUGGGAUGUUUCAGGCAUUGACAGAGUUGGCGGUGUUUAUUAUUCAUACAGGGUUGGCUGUGGAUCUACCAGCAAGCACAGGCAAACUGGCCCAUUUGAAACAGUUGGAAAUACAGGGUUGGAAACAGGGAAUAUGUGACAGCUUUCAAGGCUUGCCCGACCUUGAGAUUUUGAAACUCUGGGGAUUGGAGCUUCCAUUGACCUCAGACUGGGACUGGAGCAGAUUUCCGAGGUUGAGAACUUUGGAAGUGAGCUGCUUUGGGAAAAGUGACUUUAAAGUAACCUGCAGCAUGGAGAACUUGCAGGAAUUGAAACUCUGGGGAUUGGAGUUUCCUUUGCCAGACUGGGACUGGAGUAGAUUUCCGAGGUUGAGAACUUUGGAAUUGGAAGUGAGUUGCUUUGGGCAAAGUGACUUUAGAGUAACCUCCACCAUGGAGAACUUGCAGGAAUUGAAACUCAAGGGAUUUCCAUUGUCAGACUGGGACUGGAGCAGAUUUCCGAGGUUGAGAACUUUGGAAGUGAGACGCUUUGGGCAAAGUGGCUUUAAAGUAACCUCGAGCAUGGAGAACUUGCAAGAAUUGCAUAUUUGUCACAAUGACCACCUUGAAGGGCUUUCUUUCUUAACACGGGAAAUGUUUCCCAUGCUGGCAACACUCCACCUUUCGGGAUGCGAAAAGUUGAUUGGGGUGCCCACCAUCUCUCAACUGGCAUCACUCAAGGUCCUCAACAUCUCCAAAUGUCCCUCCUUGAAGGACCUCUCCAUCUCGUUCCUUCCAAAUCUAGAGCAUCUUGCUCUAGAUUUCUGCAACGAUGUGACCACCAUCAACAUAUCCGAGUGCCCAUCACUGACAGUUGUUCGAAUUGACUCCCUUCACAUCCAUGCCCAUGUUGUUGCAUUCGGUGGCAACUUCCCGCGACUUGAACAAAUAAUCCUUGGUGGAUUUGAACAGCUUCCAUGGAUGCCUUCCCACAGCUGACGCAGCUGGAAAUAAAACGCUGUGGUAUUGACCAACUACCAGAAUGGUUUGCAUCACUCACAACGUUGAGAACUUUGCGAUUAACUUAUUUGAAGAACUUGGAUGGGAUACCCGAUGGUGUUGCAAGGCUUCCUCUGCUAAGGAGGCUUGAUCUGGGAGGUUGCAAGAAGAUCAACAUGUUACCCUCUGCAGAUUCUGAGGACAGCUCCUUCUAUCCAUCCUUGGAGUACUUAUGCUUGAGAAACACAUCCGUCUCUCAAGAGCACCUCUCGGAACGCCUUCGAAAAAUUGCAAAGUUUUAAUGGGAAGUUUUUUAGAAGAUGAGGACCUCUGCAAUAACCAAAUCUCAAAUUAACCAAGCUUUGGAACAAUGCAAAGAGUCCAUCUUUCAUGAUCAGUGUCAUGUUGGCAGUACUCCAGUUCAACCUGGAAAACGAACAGACAGAAUCAUAGUACCAAAGCAACAAGCCUCGUUUUACCUCGAGCAAACAAACCAGCACCCAUAAAGAGAUCACGCACAGGUUCGCACGAGAAUCAAGACGGAGCAUCUUCAUUUCAUACAAACCUGGCCAUCUUGAGAGUGCUCCACCGGGUAGAUGCCAAGAAGAGCAUCUCGCUCGCGAUCUGACGAAGCCGAGCGUGGUAUUCCGCCGAGGAAUCCACCGCUGCGCGGCCUGGCGGCUGCUGCUGCUGCUGCUGCUGGAUGCUGUUGGCGAUAUCCACGCAGGUGUUCCAGAUCCGGUAGCUCAGCUUCCAGAUUUGCAGCCGCUGCUCCUCGGAGAGCUCGGAUUUGAGGCCAAGCACGCAUUCUUGGAGUUCGGAGAAGUCUGCUCGAUGUUGCAAACGAGGCGCUCGAUUCUCCGCAGCGGAUUCACAGUAGCCUCAUCCCUGGAUCCCUGGAUCACUAAGUACCUCCGAGAUGAGCAUCGUGAGAGGAAGCGAUCGCCGCGUAGCCCUAGAAUAUUUUCCCUUCCCUCUUUGUUAGGGCUCGGGAAUCGAUCGCUGCGCCAUGGGACAGCAAUGGAGGCGUGGAAGGUAUGGAAUCUCUCGUAGUUGCCGCUUCACAGCUUUAGCUUCCAGUCUUAGCACUGUGUGAGCUUGAGCAAGAUUUUCCGCAAGAAGUACAUUCGCUACACACGCCACUAAAGUCAGUGGUGCUUAGUUCCUGCACGAGUCUUCUUUCCGUCCGUUUUUAAUGGUUUCGCUUAAAAAAUUCCUGGUUGUCUGGAGAAAUCUCUAUAAUGAGUCCUGGUGAAGCAGCUCGAGAGGACGGAUCCAGAGAGCUCCCUCAGCGUCAAGUCAAGGACGAAAUUCCCAAAUCGUCUUCACCAACGAUUCACUACCUUCUGCGGAGGAGUGAGUAUCGACAUACUCUCUUCAGCGGCAUCGUCACACUCAGUCAGAAUCAUGGGAGGGUAAAGUUGAUCUUUUUUCUUCGGCUUGCAGAGCGGUCCUUCUCAAAUGCAUUCAGUACCACAGGAAUUGUCUGCGGCUUCCUGAUAAUGCUCGUUGUGGCAUAAUUCUCAAUAUGAGUCUCUUGCUUUCCACAUUGGUGGGAAGUGGUGGAAGAUUCUCUCUUUUUUC